rnacentral:rRNA from 1 species
GACGAGCGCUGGCGGCGUGCCUAAUACAUGCAAGUCGAACGAACCGCGACUGAGUGCUUGCACUUGGUCAAGGUGAGUGGCGAACGGGUGAGUAACACGUGGGUAACCUACCUCAUAGUGGGGGAUAACAGUCGGAAACGACUGCUAAUACCGCAUAGGACAUAGGAUCACAUGAUCCAGUGAGGAAAGGUGGCGCAAGCUAUCGCUAAGAGAUGGACCCGCGGUGCAUUAGCUAGUUGGUAGGGUAAAGGCCUACCAAGGCGAUGAUGCAUAGCCGACCUGAGAGGGUGAUAGGCCACAUUGGGACUGAGACACGGCCCAAACUCCUACGGGAGGCAGCAGUAGGGAAUCUUCCGCAAUGGACGCAAGUCUGACGGAGCAACGCCGCGUGAGUGAAGAAGGUCUUCGGAUCGUAAAGCUCUGUUGUUAGAGAAGAACAGCGCAUAGAGUAACUGCUAUGCGUGUGACGGUAUCUAACCAGAAAGCCACGGCUAACUACGUG